AACCUCAAUCCCCGAUGGUUUUCUGAACCGUCGGUGGACUUGGAACUGGGCGUCUGCCUCCCAAGGCUCGCCUCAAAUGACUUAGUGGGAACUUCUUGACCUACGCCUGACGUGAUAAGUUUCGUCUCGGCUGGUCUUGAGGCCCGCUCACAACCACCCACAUCUUUUGA
rnacentral:misc_RNA from 1 species